rnacentral:lncRNA from 1 species
CAGGGUUAUACGGUUGACGGUUUAUUAGUUAAUAACACAUAUUGAGAAAAUAAUUUUGUAAAGGUAGAUAACUCCUAUAAAAUUUCAUCGAAUCGCUUCGAUCCAAAUAAGCCAAAUUUUCCUUAGGAUGUAACGAACAAUUUGUAAAAAGAAUUUUGUCGCUAUCUUUUUUUGUUACGAAGGAGAUGCACUCAUGAUGAUAAACAGUGAAUAGGGAGAUAACUCUUACAAAGAAAAGUGGUUCGGCUUAGCAGGGUUAAAUGUAAAAGCGCAUAAACUGUACGAUACAAUAUGAGAAAUAUCUAAGCGACAUAUUGCGAAACAAACAUUUGUCGCAAUAUCAAAAUUAGGCGGAAGAAAAAAAAAAAAAAAAAAAAUAAUAAUAAUAAUCAGAAGAAAUACAAUAAGUCUUUCCACAGAAAAGUGGAAAGACCUAAUAAUCAGAAGAAAAACAAUAGGUCUUUCCACAGAAAAGUGGAAAGACCUAAUAAUAAUCAGAACAAAUACAAUAGGCUUUCCACAGAAAAGUGGAAAGACCUAAUUAGAGACCAAUUGUU